GAGCGAUCUUCUUCGGAAGAGAGCGGCGGACGGGUGAGUAACGCGUGGGUAACCUGCCCUGUACACACGGAUAACAUACCGAAAGGUAUGCUAAUACGAGAUGAUAUGCUUUUAUCGCAUGGUAGAAGUAUCAAAGCUCCGGCAGUACAGGAUGGACCCGCGUCUGAUUAGCUAGUUGGUAAGGUAACGGCUUACCAAGGCGACGAUCAGUAGCCGACCUGAGAGGGUGAUCGGCCACAUUGGAACUGAGACACGGUCCAAACUCCUACGGGAGGCAGCAGUGGGGAAUAUUGCACAAUGGGCGAAAGCCUGAUGCAGCAACGCCGCGUGAGCGAUGAAGGCCUUCGGGUCGUAAAGCUCUGUCCUCAAGGAAGAUAAUGACGGUACUUGAGGAGGAAGCUCCGGCUAACUACGUGCCAGCAGCCGCGGUAAUACGUAGGGGGCUAGCGUUAUCCGGAAUUACUGGGCGUAAAGGGUGCGUAGGUGGUUUCUUAAGUCAGAGGUGAAAGGCUACGGCUCAACCGUAGUAAGCCUUUGAAACUGGGAAACUUGAGUGCAGGAGAGGAGAGUGGAAUUCCUAGUGUAGCGGUGAAAUGCGUAGAUAUUAGGAGGAACACCAGUUGCGAAGGCGGCUCUCUGGACUGUAACUGACACUGAGGCACGAAAGCGUGGGGAGCAAACAGGAUUAGAUACCCUGGUAGUCCACGCCGUAAACGAUGAGUACUAGCUGUCGGAGGUUACCCCCUUCGGUGGCGCAGCUAACGCAUUAAGUACUCCGCCUGGGAAGUACGGUCGCAAGAC
rnacentral:rRNA from 1 species